rnacentral:rRNA from 1 species
AACGAACGCUGGCGGCGCGCCUAACACAUGCAAGUCGAACGAGAAGCUGUAGCAAUACAGUUGUACAGUGGCGAACGGGUGAGGAAUACAUGGGUGACCUACCCUCGAGUGGGGAAUAACCAGCCGAAAGGUUGGCUAACACCGCGUACGUUUCCCAGUCUGCGGAUUGGGAAGGAAAGCGAUGCCGUGGGUAUCGCGCUCAAGGUUGGGCUCAUGUCCUAUCAGCNGUUGGUGAGGUAACGGCUCACCAAGGCAACGACGGGUAGCUGGUCUGAGAGGACGAUCAGCCACACUGGCACUGCGACACGGGCCAGACUCUACGGAGGCAGCAGUGAGGAAUAUUGCGCAAUGGGCGAAAGCCUGACGCAGCGACGCGCGUGGGGAUGAAGGUCUUCGAUUGUAAACCCCUUUCGGGAGGAAGAUGGGACGAGCAAUCGUUCGGACGGUACCUCCAGAAGCAGCCACGGCUAACUUCGUGCCAGC